GGUGUGGUUUCCGACUGGCUGAAGGAGCACGCCUGGAAAGUGUGUAUACGGCAACGUAUCGGGGGUUCGAAUCCCCCCCUCACCGCCA
rnacentral:tRNA from 1 species